UACCCUGUAGAUCCGGAUUUGU
rnacentral:miRNA from 13 species